UACGGAGGGAGCUAGCGUUGUUCGGAAUCACUGGGCGUAAAGCGCACGUAGGCGGUUUCUUAAGUCAGGGGUGAAAUCCUGGAGCUCAACUCCAGAACUGCCUUUGAUACUGGGAGACUUCGAGUCCGGGAGAGGUGAGUGGAACUGCGAGUGUAGAGGUGAAAUUCGUAGAUAUUCGCAAGAACACCAGUGGCGAAGGCGGCUCACUGGCCCGGUACUGACGCUGAGGUGCGAAAGCGUGGGGAGCAAACAGG
rnacentral:rRNA from 1 species